rnacentral:rRNA from 1 species
ACGACGCUGGCGGCGUGCCUAAUACAUGCAAGUCGAACGGUCUUUCUAUGGAAGCUUGCUUCCACUGAGAAGAUAGUGGCGAACGGGUGAGUAACACGUGGGUAACCUGCCCAUAAGAGGGGGAUAACAUCCGGAAACGGGUGCUAAUACCGCAUAGUUUUCUUGAUCGCAUGAUUGAGAAAGGAAAGACGGCCUUUGUGCUGUCGCUUAUGGAUGGACCCGCGGCGUAUUAGUUAGUUGGUGAGGUAAUGGCUCACCAAGACGAUGAUACGUAGCCGACCUGAGAGGGUGAUCGGCCACAUUGGGACUGAGACACGGCCCAAACUCCUACGGGAGGCAGCAGUAGGGAAUCUUCCGCAAUGGACGAAAGUCUGACGGAGCAACGCCGCGUGAGUGAAGAAAGGUUUUCGGAUCGUAAAACUCUGUUGUCAGAGAAGAACAAGUUGGAGAGUAACUGCUCCAGCCUUGACGGUAUCUGACCAGAAAGCCACGGCUAACUACGUGCCAGCCGCGGC